rnacentral:rRNA from 1 species
UACGAAGGGGGCUAGCGUUGUUCGGAUUUACUGGGCGUAAAGCGCACGUAGGCGGAUUGGUCAGUUAGGGGUGAAAUCCUGGAGCUCAACUCCAGAACUGCCUUUAAUACUGCCAAUCUCGAGUCCGGAAGAGGUAAGUGGAACUCCUAGUGUAGAGGUGGAAUUCGUAGAUAUUAGGAAGAAACACCAGUGGCGAAGGCGGCUUACUGGUCCGGUACUGACGCUGAGGUGCGAAAAGCGUGGGGAGCAAACAGG